rnacentral:rRNA from 1 species
GACGAACCGUGCGAACGUUGUUCGGAAUCACUGGGCUUAAAGGGCGCGUAGGCGGGUUCGCAAGUCCGGGGUGAAAGCCCCCAGCUCAACUGGGGAAGUGCCAUGGAUACUGCGGGUCUGGAGGGAGGUAGGGGUGUGUGGAACUUCCGGUGGAGCGGUGAAAUGCGUAGAGAUCGGAAGGAACGCCGGUGGCGAAAGCGACGCACGGGACCUCUUCUGACGAUGAGGCGCGAAAGCCAGGGGAGCAAACGGG